rnacentral:rRNA from 1 species
AGCCUGACGGAGCAACGCCGCGUGAGUGAUGAAGGUCUUCGGAUCGUAAAACUCUGUUAUUAGGGAAGAACAUAUGUGUAAGUAACUGUGCACAUCUUGACGGUACCUAAUCAGAAAGCCACGGCUAACUACGUGCCAGCAGCCGCGGUAAUACGUAGGUGGCAAGCGUUAUCCGGAAUUAUUGGGCGUAAAGCGCGCGUAGGCGGUUUUUUAAGUCUGACGUGAAAGCCCACGGCUCAACCGUGGAGGGUCAUUGGAAACUGGAAAACUUGAGUGCAGAAGAGGAAAGUGGAAUUCCAUGUGUAGCGGUGAAAUGCGCAGAGAUAUGGAGGAACACCAGUGGCGAAGGCGACUUUCUGGUCUGUAACUGACGCUGAUGUGCGAAAGCGUGGGGAUCAAACAGGAUUAGAUACCCUGGUAGUCCACGCCGUAAACGAUGAGUGCUAAGUGUUAGGGGGUUUCCGCCCCUUAGUGCUGCAGCUAACGCAUUAAGCACUCCGCCUGGGGAGUACGACCGCAAG